UACAGAGGGGGCAAGCGUUGUUCGGAAUUACUGGGCGUAAAGGGCGCGUAGGCGGCCUUCUAAGUCGAACGUGAAAUCCCCGGGCUCAACCCGGGAACUGCGUCCGAUACUGGAAGGCUUGAAUCCGGGAGAGGGAUGCGGAAUUCCAGGUGUAGCGGUGAAAUGCGUAGAGAUCAGGAGGAACACCUAUGGCGAAAGCAGGUUACUGGCCCAAUACUGACGCUGAGCUGCGAAAGCUAGGGGAGCAAACAGG
rnacentral:rRNA from 1 species